rnacentral:tRNA from 1 species
GAGGAUAUAGCUUAGUGGUAGAGCACAUGUUUAGCAUGCGUGAGGUCCUGGGUUCAACCCCCAGUACCUCCA